GGAGGGAUCAUUACCGAGUUGCAAAACUCCCAAACCCACUGUGAACCAAUACCACUGUUGCUUCGGCGGACACGCCCCGGGCGCACCCUCUCAGGGGGUGUGCCCCGGAACCAGGCGCCCGCCGGGGGACCGAAACCUCUGUAUUUACCAUUUGAGUACUCUGAGUGUGAUUUACAAAAUCAAAAUUAAAACUUUCAACAACGGAUCUCUUGGCUCUAGCAUCGAUGAAGAACGCAGCGAAAUGCGAUAAGUAAUGCGAAUUGCAGAAUUCAGUGAAUCAUCGAAUCUUUGAACGCACAUUGCGCCCGCCAGUAUUCUGGCGGGCAUGCCUGUCUGAGCGUCGUUUCGACCCUCGCGCCCGGCUUCUGUCGGGGGCGGUGUUGGGGAUCGGCCACACCCUUUACUGGGCGGCCGUCCCCUAAAUCCAGUGGCGACCACGCUGUAGCCUCCCCUGCGUAGUACUAAAACCACCUCGCAGGCGGAGAGCGGUGCGGCCCGCCGUAAAACCCCCAACUUUUACAAGGUCGACCUCAGAUCAGGUAGGAAUACCCGCUGAACUUAAGCAUAUCAAUAAGCGGAGGAAAAGAAACCAACAGGGAUUGCCUCAGUAACGGCGAGUGAAGCGGCAACAGCUCAAAUUUGAAAUCUGGCCUCUGGCCCGAGUUGUAAUUUGCAGAGGAUGUUUCUGGCGAGGUGCCUUCCGAGUUCCCUGGAACGGGACGCCAUAGAGGGUGAGAGCCCCGUACGGUUGGUCGCUAAGCCUCUGUGAAACUCCUUCGACGAGUCGAGUAGUUUGGGAAUGCUGCUCUAAAUGGGAGGUGUACGCCUUCUUAAGCUAAAUACCGGCUAGAGACCGAUAGCGCACAAGUAGAGUGAUCGAAAGAUGAAAAGCACUUUGAAAAGAGGGUUAAAAAGUACGUGAAAUUGUUGAAAGGGAAGCGCUCUUGACCAGACUUGCGCCGGUUGAUCAUCCGCCGUUCUCGGUGGUGCACUCUGCCGGCUCAGGCCAGCAUCAGUUCGGUCCGGGGGAUAAAGGCUUCGGGAAUGUGGCUCUCUCCGGGGAGUGUUAUAGCCCGUUGCGUAAUACCCUGGGCUGGACUGAGGUUCGCGCAUCUGCAUGGAUGCUGGCGUAAUGGUUAUCAGUGACCCGUCUUGAAACACGGACCAAGGAGUCGUCUUCGUAUGCGAGUGUUCGGGUGUCAAACCCCUACGCGUAAUGAAAGUGAACGUAGGAGAGAGCUUCGGCGCAUCUCCGACCGAUCCUGAUGUUCUCGGAUGGAUUUGAGUAAGAGCAUACGGGGCCGGACCCGAAAGAAGGUGAACUAUGCCUGUAUAGGGUGAAGCCAGAGGAAACUCUGGUGGAGGCUCGCAGCGGUUCUGACGUGCAAAUCGAUCGUCAAAUAUGGGCAUGGGGGCGAAAGACUAAUCGAACCUUCUAGUAGCUGGUUUCCGC
rnacentral:misc_RNA from 1 species